UAGUUUUCUGUAUGAUUCAGUUUCAGCUG
rnacentral:piRNA from 1 species